CCGCAGAAAGUUUAAAUGAUUUGCCCAGAGACGCUCUUGGAGUAAGUAGACGGCUGAGGCAGAAUUUGAAUUCAGGACCGCUGAGCCCAAAUCAUUUCUCCUUCGAACAUACCAGCUGAUUAUUAAAGCCGAUCGAACACUAUUGUUGUUCAUCCUACAUUCUUGAGAGACAGGAGGGUGACGCCUUGACUUGCCAGUGAAUUGAGUUUAAGGGAGGCAGAGCUUUUUGCACAGUCCUUGGCCCGGCUCUCCCAUUUGAAUAUAGAAUGUUGAAGCUCUGAGGCCUCUUUGGCAUGUUAAUGACAAGAAAGAGACGACAUUGGUCAGAGAGCCAGAGGUGAUACAACUUAAGACCCCCCCACACACACUUAAAAGGUGCCUCAAGGACAUCGGAGAAAUCGAUGGUGGGAUUGGAUGUUCUGAAGGCAGAAAAGAACUUCUUGGGUUACAAUCCCUAGAAUGAAUAUGGGGAUUGGUGUGGGGAAUGGGGAGAGCAAGAUGACAAUAAUGUGAGUGAUAAGAAUUCUGGGGCUUUUGAUGUUGAUUUAGGAGAGGGAUGGAGGGAAUUCUGGAGAAAGAGUCAACAUGGACAUUAAAACUUAGAUGUUAAAAUGGUGGCAGAAGAACCAAGGCUUAUUUACACCCCACCUCCCCCACCCCCUGACAGUUGUGGCUAAGCUAUAUCCAAUAAACUGAGAAAAAAAAUGGUGAAGUGCUUCA
rnacentral:lncRNA from 1 species